AACAGUAUAUCUAUAUAUAACGUAACGGUACCCAAAUUGCACCGAGUACCCAAAUUGCACCUAUUUAGCAAAACUAGCAGCGAAAAUCUUACAAGAUUUCAUAGAGACUAAACAAUUUGUAUUUUUAUGAUUUGAUACUUAGCACAUCUUUCAACAUAGGUAAAACUAUUUAGAUAUGCACAAAACGUUCACAGUAUUUAUCAACAGAUGAAGUAUUUACUGAAAAAGCAAAAUGGACUAAAACGUCGCCAUGCGACGUCAUCAAAACGUCAUCUUUUUAAUAUGAGCAAAUACAAUAUGUUACAAGUAUCCAUUUAAAAAAUAAUGAAGAGUAAGCAUGGACUAAUAUCCAAUUGUUCAAAAUAUUUGAAGAAAUUAAACAAAAGCUCUGUUAUUAGACUUUUGACGAUGUGAAUUUAAGCA
rnacentral:lncRNA from 1 species